AGAGUUUGAUCAUGGCUCAGGACGAACGCUGGCGGCGUGCUUAACACAUGCAAGUCGAACGGUGACCUCGAGAGCUUGCUCUUGGGUGAUCAGUGGCGAACGGGUGAGUAACACGUGAGUAACCUGCCCCAGACUCUGGAAUAACCCCGGGAAACCGGAGCUAAUACCGGAUACGAGACGGAGCCGCAUGGCUACCGUUUGGAAAGUUUUUCGGUCUGGGAUGGACUCGCGGCCUAUCAGUUAGUUGGUGAGGUAACGGCUCACCAAGACGACGACGGGUAGCCGGCCUGAGAGGGAGAUCCCCCACACUGGUACUGAGACACGGACCAGACUCCUACGGGAGGCAGCAGUGAGGAAUAUUGGUCAAUGGACGCAAGUCUGAACCAGCCAUGCCGCGUGCAGGAUGACGGUCCUAUGGAUUGUAAACCUCUUUCAGUAUCGACGAAGCGCCGAUGAUGGUGGUGACGGUAGGUACAGAAGAAGCACCGGCCAACUACGUGCCAGCAGCCGCGGUAAUACGUAGGGUGCGAGCGUUGUCCGGAAUUAUUGGGCGUAAAGGGCUCGUAGGCGGUUUGUCGCGUCGGGAGUGAAAACCCAGGGCUUAACUCUGGGCUUGCUUUCGAUACGGGCAGACUAGAGGUAUGCAGGGGAGAACGGAAUUCCUGGUGUAGCGGUGAAAUGCGCAGAUAUCAGGAGGAACACCGGUGGCGAAGGCGGUUCUCUGGGCAUUACCUGACGCUGAGGAGCGAAAGUGUGGGGAGCGAACAGGAUUAGAUACCCUGGUAGUCCACACCGUAAACGUUGGGCGCUAGUGUGGGGCCUAUUCCAUGGGCUCCGUGCCGCAGCUAACGCAUUAAGCGCCCCGCCUGGGGAGUACGGCC
rnacentral:rRNA from 1 species